GACGAACGCUGGCGGCGUACUUAACACAUGCAAGUCGAACGGAAAGGCCCUGCUUGCCGGGUACUCGAGUGGCGAACGGGUGAGUAACACGUGGGUGAUCUGCCCUGCACUUCGGGAUAAGCUUGGGAAACUGGGUCUAAUACCGGAUAGGAGCCAUCUUUAGUGUGGUGGUUGGAAAGUUUUUUCGGUGUAGGAUGAGCUCGCGGCCUAUCAGCUUGUUGGUGGGGUAAUGGCCUACCAAGGCGGCGACGGGUAGCCGGCCUGAGAGGGUGUACGGCCACAUUGGGACGGAGAUACGGCCCAGACUCCUACGGGAGGCAGCAGUGGGGAAUAUUGCACAAUGGGCGCAAGCCUGAUGCAGCGACGCCGCGUGGGGGAUGAAGGCCUUCGGGUUGUAAACUCCUUUCGCUAGGGACGAAGCUUUGUUGUGACGGUACCUAGAUAAGAAGCACCGGCUAACUACGUG
rnacentral:rRNA from 1 species